AGUUACUGGUGAGGAAGAAACUGAGGAGCGUGCUCGGGUGACCUUGAGUAAUGCAGCCGGAUCACCGGUCUCACGUCGUUUGCAGAACUUGAGA